GGCAGCAAGAAACCAAUGCCAUCGUGCAACUGAUGUUUGGAGCCAUUUUGAGCAGUAGAAAAGGCUGUGUAGGUUUUAGAGCUUAAAUUCCUCAGAUUCUGUCUUUCCGACACAUCUUUCAAUAUUUCUUAGUACAGGGGUAGGCUUGAGACUUCCGGAUGCCACCAGAGUAUCAGAAAAAAAUGCUGAAUAAUGUUGUUUAACCAAACUUACUAAUGAUGCUUAGUUGAUGCUGUUUUGAUGCCCAGUGGGAGGGGUUGAAACUAGGACAACUUCACAGACCACUUCAGAAGGGCACAGUGGCGGAGGAGAAGCAAGACUGUGUACAGCAAACACUAACCCAGAGCCUUGGUACACAUGGUGGUGAGAUGGAGAGGACAGAGGCAGCGCAGCCCACCAAUGGGCAGGAGAUGCCCCCAACAAUGCAGCUGCUGAAAGUAUAUGAGAAGAAGCAUCACCACCAAGACAACACAGCAUUGGGGAAGAGUUUUCAAAACCUGGCAGGAAGUAAAAAAGACAUUUAGCAUCACUGGCAAAAGAUAAUUUUGUGUUUUCUAACCAUCAGUAGUGUCCAGUAGCAUCUCAGCAGCAUGCUCGUAUAAGGGCCCCAAGAACAGCUGCAAAAAUGACUUGUUUGUGGUAUUAAGAGCCAUGGGCACCACAUGCUGGUUGUGCCACUAGUAGCUACAGAUGAUACCCAACUACAGGCUUAUACUGUGGCUGCCCCUUAGUAAGGCUGAAUGGAGACAGAAGGAGGAGGUACUUUUCUCCCUUUCCUGGCCCUAGAGAAUCCCCAAGGUUUCUAUCAAAAUUCAGUCUUAAGUUAAUACUUUGUUGUGUAAGUAAGUUCAGUGUUUAAUUAUAAUAUAAAGAUAUAAUGAAAUAAAAAUUAAUUAUAUCUUUCAGCCCUGUUUUAAGUUAUUAAUCCUUAGUCUUUAGUCACUAGUCUCUUAUUUUGCCUGAGAACCAUGGGAAUGUUGGUUAAUCAUACGAUGCGUUACAUUAUGUAUAAAACAGCUGCAAGACAGACAUAGACACAUCUAUGUAUGCAUGAAUGCAUAUAUAUACUUACAUAUAAAGCAGUCGAGUGUUGGUUUUAUUUUUGCUUUUGGAUUAGUUAUAAACCACACUUUGAUCUGUCUUGGGCCUCUUCAGCCCUAAUUGUGUGCAUAGCUCUGCGUGGGUAAGGUAGUGAGAAUAAGAAAACGUAAAAUAUAAACAGAGAUGUGUUGUCAUGUAAAAACUUUUCUUUGUUAUCCUAGGAUCAAAAGUCACCCUCAUAAAUGACUUACUGCAUCUUUGCAAACCAAUACAAUUUUUAGUUUGUUUUACAGGAUAAAUUUCAGAAAACCACAGCUGUUUUUUUAUAACCCUUCCUCUGUGAAGGCUCUAUUAAUAUCAAGAUUUUCAGGAUUAAUUUCAUCUGAAGGAGAGUUGCCCCAAGGGGACCAUUUUGCACCCUGAUGAUUAAGGGUAAGUGCAGCACUGUACUGGAGGGAAUGCUAUCACUCUCCAGGAAAUCAUUGUUUCUGUGGCAAAUGGAGACAAAGUGAGAAAAUGCCCAAGAAGUACGCAGAAGUUUCAAUCUCUUGCAUGGGUUUUAUGAUUUGCAAGAUACAGCAUUGACACAGCCAAAACAUUUUGAAAAA